AACGUAGGAGGCAAGCGUUAUCCGGAAUCACUGGGCGUAAAGGGCGUCUAGGCGGCACGAUAAGCGAGGUGUGAAAGCUCCUGGCUCAACUAGGAGAGUGCGCUUCGAACUGUCGAGCUACGAGGGCAGGCGAAGGGGGUGGAAUUCCCGGUGGAGUGGUGGAAUGCGUAGAGAUCGGGAGGAACACCCGUGGCGAAAGCGGCCCCCUAGCCUGAACCUGACGCUGAAGCGCGAAAGCGUGGGGAGCAAACGGG
rnacentral:rRNA from 1 species